CAGUAGCCGCGGUAAUACGAACCGUCCGAACGUUAUUCGGAAUUACUGGGCUUAAAGCGCGUGUAGGCGGAUGAGCACGUCCGACGCUGAAAUCCCCCGGCUUAACCGGGGAAUUGGCCCGGAUACGACUCGUCUGGAGGGAGGUAGGGGGGCCUGGAACUUCGGGUGGAACGGUGAAAUGCGUUGAGAUCCGAAGGAACGCCCGUGGCGAAAGCGAGGCCCUGGACCUUUUCUGACGCUGAGACGCGAAAGCCAGGGGAGCGAACGGGAUUAGAUACCCCUGUAGUCCCUGUCUCUUAUU
rnacentral:rRNA from 1 species